AUGUUCUGCAAGGACAUGCUGGAACUGAAAGAGUCUCUCAUCAAUGCUGUAAACUUGGACGGGGAGACACCACUUAUCACCACGGUGAGAAAUGGUCACGUCUCUUUGUCUUCUUUCUUACUCGGUCAACACUGCUUUGUGCACCAUGGAUCGAGGCAGGCAAUCUUGCAACAGGACAGGUACGGAUUUAACGCACUGCACCAUGCCAUUCGCAACGGCCACAAGGAUCUUGCACUGGAGAUGAUAGCUGCACAGCCUGCGUUGUCGCAAGCUGUGGGAAAGCACAAUGAGUCACCGAUGUACUUUGCGGUGAUGAGAAAUUUUACACAGGUUUUCGAGAAACUAAUUCAAAAUCCUUUGUCUGCUUGUUCGGGAGGACAACACGGUUACAAUUGUCUACAUGCUGCAGUUAAGAAUGACCAUCAAGAAUUUGUCAAAAUAAUUAUGAAGAAACGUCCUGAAUUGGCUAGAGAAGUUGACACAGUACAAAAUACUCCAAUAGCACAUGCUGUACAAUACGACAAGAUUGACAUUUUACAAGUACUGCUGGAACAUGAUUCAACUCUAGGGUAUUUAACAAACAACAAAGGUAUGCCUCUGCUUAAUAUUGCGGCAUGGCGAGGUGUGGUUGCUGCUGCACGAAAGCUUCUGGAGCACUGCCCCGGUGCUCCUUAUCUUGAACCAAAUGGUUCGACAUGUCUUCAUGUUUAA
rnacentral:rRNA from 1 species